CUGUGGCCCUCUUCGCCGUUUCUCCUCAUCACCCUCUCUGCACCAGCAUCUUGCCUCCCAAACAAACCAAAGAUAAGUUCAUUGCGUCCCCUCCAGCCAUGAAAAUACCAUGGUUAGCUAACAGAGGGUUUGAUACUCGAUGACCAUUUAGUUAUCAUGGAUAAAUUUGGUUCUCAUUGCCCGACUUAUAUCUCUUUUUGUUGGUCUGGUUCUUGAAUUCACGGUGAAAUCAGAACAAUGUGUAGGGGGUGGGGUGCUAAGGGAAGUAGCACAGAUCGGAAUCAAACCACAGGAAUGGUACUGAACUGAGCAGGUUGAGUGGUUUUCUUGGUAUUCUUUCUGGGAAGAAACACAAAUACAGCUCCAUCCUGGUAAAUAAAUGAAGUCAUGAGCGUUCCAACCAAUCUGAUGUGGCUUGAAAUUUAAGAACCUUUGCAUUGAAGGGAAGCUGUUCCAAGUGCUUAAUAGUGUUACUUGAGAAUAGAAAACAAGGGAUUAUCUGUAGUGUUGCAAGUUGGAAAAUGGCAAACUGUACUGAAGUAGUUUCUGCACUGUAUAUUUCUUGGCUUCCCACAGUUCCUUCCCACUGAAUAUGGGUAGCCAAUUUCCCUAUUUCCUAGAGUUAAGUUUGGAGCAUGUUAUGUUAUGUGAAGUUUGUCUAUAUAUGUGCAGGUUAAAUACUCUCAAAUUGCUUUUAAACUUCUACCCAAGUAUCUAUAUGUUUAUUUUAUUUGCUGCAAUACGUUAGAGCUCACUGAAAAUAUCUGUUCUCACCUACAGCAAUGCAUUUCAGCCAAAUUUGGAAUUUUUAUUAUUGGGUGUUCUCAUCCGCAUAUAUUGAAGUACCGAGAAACAAGAAGCAGGUCGUUGGCUUUUAUUGACUUUCAUCUGCAUAUACUGAAGUAAGGGGAAACAAGAAGAAGUGAAAGUUUGGGUACUUAUUUUUCCAUGAAGUUUUCUUUCAGAGCAUCGAGAGCGGAUGGAUAAGAAGGUGUUCAGUACAUGGGAUUGGAGAAAUAAGAAGAGAUGUAAUAUUCCUACAGCUGAUGUCCGUUGCAUCGGAGAGAGAGAGGACAACAAAAAAUCGUUGGGUGUUUGCCCAGGAUGAUUUUUUUUCAUUGCAUUGGAGGGAUAGGACAACAAUAGUAAGAGAGCAAGACUUGCUGGAUGUUUGCCUAGGUUGGGUAGACUAGCAUCCUAAAGGUAUGGAGGUACCUCGCAGCUUUGUUGAUGACGGGAUGCAAGGUAUGAUCAAGAAUAUGCCAGGCGAUAAAUUUAUUUAGCUUUGGAGCCACAUCCUCUUAUAUGAAGUAAGUGCAGAUUACAUAUAAGUUUUGGACAUGGAGCCACAUCCAUUGCCAAUAAGAUCAUUUUUUGCAUGGAGUUAGAAAAGAACUUUCAGCUCAAGUCCUGAUUUUUGUAGGAGAGCUAUUUACGAAGCUAGAAGGAAAAUAUACUCCUCAGUAUAGGUGGCUUGAAACCGAAUUCCCCGAGGUAAACAGGAGCGAAACACCAUGGUUGAUCGUUCUGAUGCAUGCUCCAUGGUACAACAGCUACAACUACCACUACAUGGAAGGUGAAAGCAUGAGGGUGAUGUACGAGCCAUGGUUCGUGAAGUACAAAGAUGAUAUUGUGCUUGCAGGCAUAGGAUAUCAAAUGUCGCAUACAACAUUGUAAAUGGUUUGUGCUCCCCUGUCCCACACCAGUCUUCGCCGGUUUACAUAACCAUCGGGGAUUGAGGAAACCAGGAAGGGUUGGCCACCAACAUGUCGGAGCUGCAGCCAAGCUACUCGGCGUAAAGGGAGGCGAGCUUCGGGCAUGCCUACUACACGCAAGAUCAUUGAUGCAGGGCUGACCAUGGACGCGGACACGCGGUGCUUGCGCGGACAGAUGAACGCACGGCCAGGGUGGCUG